GCCCGCAUGGUCUAAUGGUUAUGACGCUCGCCUCACAAAACACUUGACAGUGGACGCGAUAGGUUCCAGGUUCGAUCCCUGGUGCGGGCA